AGCGUCGUGGAUACAGUAUUUUCU
rnacentral:siRNA from 1 species